AAUGAACGCUGGCGGCGUGCUUUACACAUGCAAGUCGAGCGAGGCCGGGUAGCAAUACCCGAGUCUAGCGGCGCACGGGUGAGUAACGCGUGGAUAACCUGCCUGAAGGUGGGGGAUAACCCGGGGAAACUCGGGCUAAUACCGCAUGAUACCGAGAGGUCAAAGGGGGCUCGCAAGGGCUCUCGCCGGCAGAGGGGUCCGCGUCCGAUUAGCUAGUUGGCAGGGUAAAGGCCUACCAAGGCGACGAUCGGUAGCUGGUCUGAGAGGAUGACCAGCCAGACUGGAACUGAGACACGGUCCAGACUCCUACGGGAGGCAGCAGUGGGGAAUUUUGGACAAUGGGGGCAACCCUGAUCCAGCCAUGCCGCGUGAGUGAAGAAGGCCUUCGGGUUGUAAAGCUCUUUCGGCCGGGAAGAAAUCGCACGGGCUAAUACCCUGUGUGGAUGACGGUACCGGAAUAAGAAGCACCGGCUAACUACGUGCCAGCCGCCGCCGUAAGAC
rnacentral:rRNA from 1 species